GACGAACGCUGGCGGCGUGCUUAACACAUGCAAGUCGAACGGAAAGGCCCUGCUUUUGUGGGGUGCUCGAGUGGCGAACGGGUGAGUAACACGUGAGUAACCUGCCCUUGACUUUGGGAUAACUUCAGGAAACUGGGGCUAAUACCGGAUAGGAGCUCCUGCUGCAUGGUGGGGGUUGGAAAGUUUCGGCGGUUGGGGAUGGACUCGCGGCUUAUCAGCUUGUUGGUGGGGUAGUGGCUUACCAAGGCUUUGACGGGUAGCCGGCCUGAGAGGGUGACCGGCGACAUUGGGACUGAGAUACGGCCCAGACUCCUACGGGAGGCAGCAGUGGGGAAUAUUGCACAAUGGGCGGAAGACUGAUGCAGCAACGCCGCGUGCGGGAUGACGGCCUUCGGGUUGUAAACCGCUUUCGCAUGUGACGAAGCGUGAGUGACGGUAAUGGGUAAAGAAGCACCGGCUAACUACGUG
rnacentral:rRNA from 1 species